GAUGAACGCUAGCUACAGGCCUAACACAUGCAAGUCGAGCGACCGGCGCACGUGUGAGUAACAUGGAGACAUGCCGCACUUUACUCGGGAAUAGCCUGACGCAAGAAAGAUUAAUACCUGAUGUGAUGGAUGGGGAUGCGUUCCAUUAGGUUGUUGGUGAGGUAACGGCUCACACAGCCUUCGAUGGAUAGGGGUUCUGAGAGGAAGGUCCCCCAGAUUGGAACUGAGGCCCGGACCAAAAGCCGAGGGGAGGCAGGAGUAGUGAGUAUUGGGCAAUGAGCGUUAGCCUGGCCCAGCCAAGUAGCGUAAAGGAUGAAGGCUUAUGGGUCGUAAACUUCUUUUAUAUAAGAAGAUGUAUUAUAUGAAUAAGGAUCGGCUAACUCCGUGCCAGCAUCCGCGGUAAUAC
rnacentral:rRNA from 1 species